rnacentral:ncRNA from 1 species
UCAGAACCCGCUUGGGUCCCCGGACGAUGGUCAAGUACCCGGACAGCGACAAGACUUGCCGAA